rnacentral:lncRNA from 1 species
UCUGAAGGAAACUCAGAUGAGAUGAGGUUAUGACCCCUUGGUCUCCAUGAAGUGACACAGCAGAAAGCAUGAUUGUCUAACUGACAUCUUGCUGUGUGAAAUCUGUCACUCCACUCGGGACAAGCUCAGGGUAUCUGACUUACAAUCAGGCUUAGCAGUGUGUUAUAAUAGCAAGACCAUAGGCAUUGGUGUCAGAAAACUAACUUUUGAAGCUCAGUUUCCACAUUUGCUAAUACACUAUGAACAGAUCUGAACUCGGUUUCUUCUUUAAAAUGGUAAAUACUUCAAAGUGGGAUGUUAUUUAAGCAUUUUAUAAAUGAGAAAGCAAAUCACAAAUGUAUCAUCUUGUUAGUUCAAGAAUUUCAUUGGGGUAGACAGUAUCUCAAGGACUUUUAACAAAGUUCUAAACAAGACAGUGUCUAGAAGACUUCCUUCACGUUUGUGUUUUUUGUUCUCUUUGCAUUCUUGCGAUAACAACAAAGGAGUAAUCAAAAAAGGGUUUGAAUGUGUUCAUCGUACUAAGCAGACUCCUUUUCUCAUUCAUGCUGAGCUUUUAAAUCCUAACACAUUUAAAGGAGAGUGUAUCUGGUCCACCGGUUUUGUCUUAAUUCUGUCACUGUAUUUAGUCAGCCUUGUUGACAUCAAAUAAUGAAGUAUUUUUAUCUGGGAGCUUCUCUUGUAGAAGAUGCAAGUUUGCUGGAUGAUGCAAGUUUGCUGGAUGAAACCGGUUUUACUUCUUGGAAGAUGAAGAGUUCUUCACUUGUAAUAAAUGUUCACACCUUUCUGCUAUAUUUAUUUUGCAGGUCCCAACCCCAAAAAUCUGGGCCAGAGGAGGUAGUGUCAGGCAGUCAUUGAAAGCCCAGUCUGAUUGUCCAGUAUUUGUGGCAAGGUCAGGAGCAUUUUUUUUUUUUUUUUGCCUAUCUGUGCAAACAGUCCAAAUUUAAAGGAAGAAGACAAGGUAAAAACAGUAAGAGGCAUCUGGGAAGCAGGUGGAAGAGUGAGUGCUGCUGACUAAUUCUCCCCUUUCUUGUCCUUCAUGGAGAACAGGCAGGCUUGUUCUCAUCCCUUAGACUCUGCUCCCUUUGUCUGCCCUGGCAAGAACAGGGGCACACUCUACCUGAUACAAAGUGUUCCCCAAAGAAAGGCGAUGCUGCUAAUGAUGAGACUGAUUGAUGCUCUUGAAGCUCCCAAGCAGCCUGUCCCGG